UCCUGCUCCGGCUGCAGAGGAGGGGCAGCGGUGCCAGGAGCAGCGUGUGCGGGGCCACGUGUCCGGGAGCGGCGGCGUGGGAGUGUCAGGCGGCAACGGGACCCUCAGCUGUUUUUUCAGCCGGGCACAGGCGUCCUUCACCCGUGUGCCCGUGGCUCUGCCGCUGUGUUCAGGAGGUCCCAGCCACGCUCAGGUUUGUGGUUGGGGCUGCAGGAGCUCUGUAGAUCCCUCAGUCCACCUGCUCACGCAGGGUCACAGAGCAGAUCACACAGGUGGGUCCAGGCGGGUUGGAAUGUCUCAGAGGAGGAGACUCCACACCCGCUCUGGGCAGCCUGGGCCAGGCUCUGGCACCUCCCAGCAAACAAGUUUCUCCUCAUGUUCAGAUGGAGCCUCCUGUGUUUCAGUCUGUGCCCGUUGCCCCUCACCCUGGCGUUGGGCACCACUGAACAGAGUCUGGUCCAUCCUCUGACACCCCCCCUGCUGAUUAACAGCCCGAUGGGUCCCUGGAGUGUGGUGGUGGACACUGGCCAGGAAGAGAACGCAUUGGGAGCGGACACUGGUCCUCUGAGAGCCGAUACCCGUUUCCAGGGUGGGCAUUGAUGUGCUGAUGAGCUCCGGUUACACUUGGCUCUGUGAACAGUCGCACCUUUGCGCAGCGACUGACACUUCCCACGGCUUGUCUAAAAAUCCCUUGGCGCCCGUGUGGCUCCUCCAGCAUUGUUCGGGGUACUGUUGGGGUGCAGGAUUUGUGCCUGUAUCGUCCUGUAACACCCUCCCGUGUCAGAUAACAGCAUGGCGAAUGCUCAUCCCUUUCCUUGGCUUCUCCUUGAGGUGGCCACGCAGAGACCACCCCGCGCUGCCCCCCGAAUUCCCCACGGGAGCCCAAGGACCUGCGAUGCUGCAGCUCCUGUGCGUUACGAGCUGCUCCCCUGCUUUGGAGCAGGACGGGCUGAUGUUCCCUUGGGGUCAUCAUCCCUCUGCCCAAGGAGGGUUUGAUUGUGCGAUCCGGGCUCUUUGCUGGCUCUGAACUUGCUGUGAUGCCAGGAAGGUCAUUCCCUUGGCGUGAGCCUCCUUGUUUAGCUGUUGGAACCAUGAGUCCAACACGGGCCAUGUCCCGGUGACACAUGAGCGGAGACCCCUGGGGCUGGAAGGGGCCGAGAAGCACCAAGCCCAUGGUCUGCGGGGCCAGGGCCGCCCUUGGGUGAUGGAUGGGGUGGGAAUCUGCAGACUCAGCACGAGCCCAGCCAAGCACUUUACUGUGCUCUUUGGAAGCCGCCACAGCAAGUGCUACUUUUUGUGCUGAUAAAUCUUGUUUUUAAAUUAGCUGCAUGUCAAGCUGGUAAAUAAUGCAUCUCGUAAAUGGAAAAUGUGUUCAAAUCCAGGCUGGAACAACCAGCCUGUGCUGCAGGUACAGCGAGUCCUGCGCAGCAGGGAGAACAGGCGGCAGCGGUACCUGGAAGCCUCCCGGACUGCUUUUCAAGUUGCUUUUUAAAAUCUUUAUUUCCCACAACCUAUUCCAUGAGAUUUUCCCAUAAGUGUAAACCCAGGAGUAGCUUUGAUGGGAAGAUAAAGGUUUUCUAUGUAUGAACCGGAGCAGGAGGUGUCAGCCGGCCCCCUCGCUGCUCUGGGAGCAUUUGCAGCUGUGUCAGAGCCGUCCCGGUGGGUGCCUCGCUCCAGAGCCCGGCAAACGGCUUCCCCGAGUCCUCACCACCGAGAUUUGAGCAGAACAGAUUGCUAAUUACUAUUAAAAGUCCCUGGAGCUACACGGUACCACGUGCUGCCUGCCUGCGUGGAACAGAUGGGCUUGAAGCUCCUUGAGGUCCCGAAUGCAGGUGGUUUUGCGAUAGAUAAAACCCCCCACGAUCCCCAGCUCUUUCUUGGGGAAACCCAGUCCCGAGUGGGAUGAACUGGGGAGGUCUGGGCUGAGCACUGGAGCCCCGGCAGUGCUGGGUGCAGUUGGGAGCCCCGCUGCUGCGAUCUGAAGGACAUGAGCAUCGCCUCACCUUGGCCGCUCAGCCCUGAAAGUCACAGCGAGCAGCAGCGCAGGGGGCUGUCACCGGGCUGGCCGUGGCACGUCGCUGCCGCACGUGUCGCUCACAUAAAGCCCUGCAGCUGUGCCGUUUGGGUUCCAGCCCUCGGUUGCUUUGGGCACAUGCAGCCGCGGAGCAAACCUGAAGAUUUAAAGUCAGAAAGUGGCCCAGACUCGAGCGGCUGACACGCUGCGUACGGACAGAAUUCCUUGCGGCUGCAGGAGAGCGAAGCUGCGGCAGAACCCAGUUUGUUGCGUCAGUGCUGUCACCACCAUGUGUGCUGGGGACCCAGUGGCACAGGGCAGCACCUUGGCAAACCCACACGGGCUUGGGGUUUGGUGUGAUGCUCUAGAGGAGCCGCAGCUUUGCAGGAGGGCAAAUAAUGGGGGUUUGGCCCAUCCGCAGAGCUGCUGCCCAUCUCGGAGCAGGCUGUGAGGAGAGUUUGUCGGUGAUGAAUUAUGCGCUGUUAUCAGAAGCAAUUACUGAUCAGCAAAGUGCCGCGGGGCAGUGCAGAGGAGCCCGCGGGAUGGAUGUGAAAAUAGCACGAUAGAUUCCUUGAAUACUGCUAAAUGGGAAGGGCUAAUUAAAAACCUGGAUGGUUUCCAGGGAUAAACAUAAUGGGAUAGCCAAGGUGCUUGCGAGCUGGUGUUAAAAGACAAGUUCUUCGCCGUGGGGGUUGAGCUGACGCAGCAGCAGCUGCAGAGCAUCCCACAUCCUUCAUCCUCGUGCCAGGGCAGUGCCAGCGGGUGCUCGUGGCCCAGAUGGUGGCCACAGGGUGACGUGCAUGCAGACCCCAGCCAGUGGACAUAGGGUGACAUGGUGGGAUGCAGACCCCAGCUGAUGGACAUAGGGUGACAUGGUGGGAUGCACACCCAAGCCGAUGGACAUAGGGUGACAUGGUGGGAUGCACACCCAAGCCGAUGGACAUAGGGUGACAUGGUAGGAUGCAGACCCAAGCUGAUGGACAUAGGGUGACACGGGUGGGAUGCAGACCCAAGCCAGUGGACACAGGGUGACACGGGUGGGAUGCAGACCCAAGCCGAUGGACAUAAGGUGAUGUGGUGGAAUGCAGACCCAAACCAAUGGACAUAGGGUGACACAGGUGGGAUGCAGACCCAAACCAAUGGACAUAGGGUGACACAGGUGGGAUGCAGACCCUGCUGCGGUGCCCAGGGUCCUGCCUGGCUGGCACGGAGGCUCGUGGCACAGCUGGAACCAGGGAGGAGGAAGAGGAGGAGAAGCAGCGCUGAACCUUGUGGUGCCCAUCCAGCCACUGCCACUGGUUCUGUUUAAACUCUGAAACUGUUUUCCCACAAAGGUAAUUUUCUGCUUCUCUGACUCAAUUCUAUUCAUCUUUUAGAGGGUAAUUAGCAUCACUUCAGUGUUCUUUUAUGCCCAGCUAAUUGCACCUUGUUUCAGGAGCGAAAGUUAAUGCCUCUCCAUUUAGGUUAGAGCAGAAAUUUAUGAUUAGAGAUGAGGCCAGGCAGAAACGUGUACCAGGAGUACCACUGCCUGCCUGCCUGCCCUGAGAAUUGCUGCCUGCACUGCUGGAAAGAUUUUCCCAUUUUACAUUUGAGCUGCUCAUGGCUGCUACAGCUGCGUCGUAACGAGCUGAAGCCGCAUGCGGCAGCCUCAGUGGCUGCCGGUGACAGUGGUGACAGUGGGACAGGGGAGUCAAGGGCACACACAGAGUCAACCGGAACCAACAGCCAUAUGGGACGUGGUGAUGGGGCUCAGGACCCGCUCUGGUGCCACCAGAGAAGCAGAUGGGGCUGGAUGUCAGUGCUGGGUGGGGUCGGCACAGGGGGACCCUUCUGGGCCAGGUCACUGUGUGGCGAGAGGUGCUGGCCAAGUCUCCCGCUAUGGCAGCUUUUCUCUAACGUAUGGCUGGUGGUUCUUUACUUUUAGAUUGUUUGACCAAACUGAUUGUACCCAUGCCCCCGUGUUUGGCUGUCACAGAAUCACAGCAUCAUUUUGGUCGGAAGAGACCCUCAAGAUCAUGGAGUCCAACCGUUCCCCACCCCUGGCACUGCCCCAUGUCCUGAGAACCUCAUGUCCGUCUGUCCAGCCCUCCAGGGAUGGUGACUCCAGCACUGCCCUGGGCAGCCUGUUCCAAUGCCCCACAGCCCUUUGGGGAAGAAAUUGUUCCUAAAUCCAACCUCAACCUCCCCUGGUGCAACUUGAGGCCGUUUCCUCUGCUCCUGGUGCUUGUUCCUGGGGAGCAGAGCCCGACCCCCCCUGGCUCCAAGCUCCUUUCAGGCAGUUCAGAGAUCAGAAGGUCUCCCCUCAGCUCCUGUUCUCCAGCUGAACCCCCAGGUCCCUCAGCUGCUCCAAUCACACUUGUGCUCCAGCCCCCUCCCCAGCUCUGUUCCCUUCUCUGUCGUCCCUCUGCAGCUCUUGCUGUGAUCGGGAUGGCCAAUCAACCUCUUUUUCCUGCACCAGCAAAGGCAUUUUCUGCCAUUCACCUGCUCACAAGCACCAAAAUCACAGCCCGGCCAAACCCAACACCGAAGCCUUGUGCCCGGCUCUGUUGGGGCUGCUGCCUGCAAACAGUGCCAGGCAAACGCCAACCAGACCACGUGUGUUCUGAGGCCUCAUUUGAGGGGCUGCUGAUCAGGCAUCAGCGACUUUGAUAGCGCCAAGGACUAGAAAGUAAAUACCUCCGCUAUAAAUCUUGUCUGCUUUAAAGUAGGUUAUAUUUUCAAAGCGCUUUAGUUCUCAGGAAUUUAAUAUUGCGAUGUCAAUUGUAAGACAAGUAAUUGGAUGGGGAGAACGUUGUUACUGGAACCUGAGAUUAAAGGCAGGAUUUGAAACGCCGUGUUGCGUGCGGGCGGGGGGUUUUGUUCGCUGCGAAUGUGACUCUGGAGGUUUCGCAGGCAGCGUUUCUGUUUGAAGUCGGCUCUGCGAGGUUCACUGUCCUGCCACGGCUUCAACACAAGACGGAUCGUGUUGCCCAAGGUUGGAAGAGAACGCGUCUUCUCGCGAAAGCAGCCGUGCAGCAAAGCACCGGCACGAGGCUUCUCCAGCGCCUCCUCCCCGCCGGGACCCCAGACCUGCGUUUAAUCCUCCCCUGGAGUGGGUUGCUUUAAUCUCACUGAGCAGUUUAUGUUUUAGGUUAUUAAAAGCGCUUUGCGCCCACGCUGGGAGAGACCCAGCUGCUCCCAGGGGAGCCUCUGCCUCCCCAGCGCCCUCCCUCUGCUGCUCCUGCCCAAGGACGGAGCUUCUGCUGUCCCGUGAAUGACGUUUUCUUGCUCUGUCCUUUUCCAAAUCACAAGCCGCACCAGCAUGACCCAGCAACGUGUUCUGGAGCUGAGCAGGAGCUGUGGGCUUUGUCAGAGAGACCCUUUCUCAAAGCCGGACCCUGCAGCCCUGGCACCUCCUUUGCCAGAAAACCUGCUCAGCUUAAGGACACGACUUUGAUAUUUCCAGUCCUAACCUUUCUGUGAAAGAGCGACUACCAGACAGGUGAGCUGGUCAGCCAUGCCUAAUGUAGAUUGAUAGCAGAUCGGCUUUUCUGUCUUAAUUUGCUUAUGACCUAAAGAAUUAGCGGAGAGGAUCUGUUAUCCUGCCAGUGCACUAAUGACUCCUGCAAGAGAAGGGCUCCCCAGGGAAGGAGUGGUAUUUGCUAACCUUUCCCUGCCUUGCUUUAUAUAAUAGCACACUCCUCCAAAUGUCCUCAGCGUGACUGGCUGCUCCCCUUCGCCUCCAUUCUGCACGGUAUUUUUACUUUUCAAAUUUCAAAAUGCUGCGCAGUGAGAAAAGGUGCUGAACUUGUGUCGCUCAUCCUCCCUCUCCCUUCGGAGCCUAUUCUUAGAGAUGCUGCUGGUUUAGGAAUUCAAAGGGGUGCACUUUUCUUCUUCAGGGUCUCCAAAAAUGUCCUGUAUUCGUAUGUCCAGGUGGAUAGAAAAGAAAAACAAAGCCCAGAUUGCUCCUUCUCGCUGGCACCAGCACGUGGUCCAUGGGCACGAUGGCCCAAUGCAGGCGGGUACCGACUGCUGGUGUCCCAGCCCUGGCCCUGCUCCUGCUGCCAGCGACAGAUGAAGAGCUUGAGGAGAAGUGCUGAGACGCUCUUUCCUAGGAUGUGACAUUGAUAAAUGACCUGUAGAAACCUGAAAGCUUUGUCAUAUUCAUCUUAAGGACAAAACCUGUGGCUCCCCAGGCCAUGAGUGUUAUUGCUGCAUUUGUUUCAACACAGUGGGGUUCGGGUUUGUUUUCUGGUUGGUUGGUUGGUUUUGUUUUUAAUAAUAGAUGUAACCUUCUGCAUGUUUGGUUUCAGGCACUGCCCAAAUACCUCACCAGGAAAAAUAAUGUCCCUCUUCAGCUGAGCGUAAACAGGUAGCGCUGGGAUUUACUGAAUUAUUUGAAGUACCUUUGGUAGUUCCAGACUAAACCUAAAGUGGGCCAGGACAGCGCUGGAAAAGAAGAUCCCCAUGCAGUGAAUGUCACGACUCUCCCACGCACCCACCGUGUCCUGGUGCGGGAGCCCCGAGGACGGAGCGGCUGAGGAUGAGGAUGGAGCGAGGAAGGCCAGUAGGCAUCAGCCCUCCAUUGCCAGGGCUUUUUCUACCCGCUAAUCAGCCAGAAGAGGGGACUGCUGCCCGUCCGCUGGGAAGCAGAGACCUGCUCUGGUCCCUCUGCUUGGCAAUGGCUCUGCCCAGCGUCCCAGCGCCUGGGGGCUGAGCUCCGUGUCCCUGCGGGGAGGUGACAGAUUGGAACCCAUGGCUGGGGACCCCUCUGCCUCAUUGAGCCUCUGUCAGAGCAGGGACUGCGGACAGGGCUCCCUGCAAGCUGCCAAUGGCAAACCCCACACAGGGCUGCGGCGCUGGCCUCAGCGCUCCUGCCAGAAAUGAUUCUAUGACUCCGUGUGCCACGUUACCCAGCGGAUCACACCAGCACACGUUCCUCCAAAGCAGCCGCUCUCUGCUCGCUGCGGCAAAUCUCCAGGUCUUGCACUGUAUAAACAGGGAUGCUGAGCUUGGCCAAGCUGCCACCAUCACUUCACGCGACAGUCGUGUGCCUAUACAUCCCUCGGCCAGCCUGCCUGCAAACCCUCCGCUCUCCUCGCCUUCAACAGGAAUCAGUGCAUUAAUUACCCUGACAACUCAGCAGAAGUGCUAGCAGGUCUCUAUAAGCAGCUGAGCGUGAAGGCAGCCUUGUGACAAGCCGGGGUUAUUGCAGAAGAGAAUCACAGCGUUUCUCCUCCCCGGCGUGCAGCCCUCGCGUCACCGCGCUCCUCGUCUUCGCACCUUUGCUGGGGUUUUCGAGGCGCUCCUGCAUGGUUUCGCUCCGUUUUGUGACAAAACGCUGUGCUGUGGAGACCAGUAAAAGACCGUGGCAGUGAUAACAAAUAGUGUCCGAGCCUAUAGGGUCCAUCUCUUCUUUUCUUUUGCUUUUCUCUCUUAGCGGAGCUGGUUUCGAGGGCUGACGCUGAGGGAUGGAGAACCGCGUGCUCCACCACAGUGUCCUUGGCAGCGAGGCCAAGCCAAACUGCGGGAAGCUGAGGAUUGAUGGCCAUGAAACAGAUCCAUCUGCAAAGAAAGAAGAGUCCCUGCUUUCCGAGGGGGAAAUUAAUUUUGAUGUAUUAAUUAUAAGUCAGAGGAGAGGUUGGUGCUGGAAUGGUGAGCUUUGGAGAUUGUUAUAUUGUCAUUAUUCACUAAUGGCUGGAAAACAAACUAGGUCUACGUGACAAUGGUAAAGUAGAAUGGCAAACCUAUGGAGCCUCUAUUAUAUCCCAUGUACUCAAAAGAG